rnacentral:rRNA from 1 species
UACGGGGGGGGCAAGCGUUGUUCGGAAUUACUGGGCGUAAAGGGCUCGUAGGUGGCCAACUAAGUCGGACGUGAAAUCCCUCGGCUUAACCGGGGAACUGCGUCUGAUACUGGAUGGCUUGAGUUCGGGAGAGGGAUGCGGAAUUCCAGGUGUAGCGGUGAAAUGCGUAGAUAUCUGGAGGAACACCGGUGGCGAAGGCGGCAUCCUGGACCGACACUGACGCUGAGGAGCGAAAGCCAGGGAGCAAAGCGGG